UGUUAGUUCCACAUCAGAUAUAUGCUGGGGUUGUUCUCAAAGAAUUAAAUUACAAAAACAUUACACAAAGAAGUUUUAUGAAUACAAGAAAUGAUAAAAUGCCUGGAAACAUAAUAGGAUUAUGAAACAAACCGAAUGGAUUCAAAUGUGUUGGUUUCUUCAGUGAAAUUCUUUUCAUAUAAAAUUAAUGUUUCUUAAGAUUUGUCGGCGAGUGAUGAAGAUGUUCAAAGGAGUUAAAAACAAAGGUUAAAACCACUGGAGGUUUCUGAGUUUGUGCUGAAAGCUGUAACAUGUACUGAGGUUUGGUUUUGGUGUUUGUAACAUGCAGAGAUAUGAGAGGAGGAAGAGGCUGAAGGAGGAGCAACACUGUCACAGAGCAGAGCAGAAAAGGACUCCCACUGUCAGAUACAUUCAAUAUCUGAAGCAUACAGAACAGAUAGUGUGUGGAAGAUGCUGUCACUGCAUUACUGGCUCAUGUUUCCUUUGUUUCUGAUCACACUAACAGGUGUCAGCUGUGAUCAGCUCACUGCAGUCAAGGAUGAAGAGUCCACUUUAGAAGGAAACACUCUCACUCUGUCCUACAGAUUUUCUGGACAAGCCAAUGUCAAUGAUUAUUUCUUCUGGUAUCGACAAUAUCCAGGAAAACCACCAGAGUUCCUGAUCUCUCAUUUGGGAAAUGGAGAUUUAUUGAAGCGAGAAUUCUCCAGAGUGUCAUUCAAAGUCGUUGAUGAUCAAAGACAAAUAACGAUCUCCUCUGCUGCAGUGACAGACUCUGCUGUGUACUACUGUGCUGUGAGGCCCACAGUGACAGGAAACACCGAAACUCUGUACAAAAACCUUUGGAGCAAAGACAACAGAAUACUCCACAACAUCCACUAGAGGGAGCCACACACUGUUAAAGCCCAGGGCUUUGGUUGGA